rnacentral:lncRNA from 1 species
GCUUAGGAAGGAGAUGUUCUUCCUAGGAUUGAGAAGGCAAUGGAGCAGAAAAGAGGAAGGAGAACUGUUGCAGGCGUGGGGGAAGCCUAAGCUCAGGAGGCUCAGGCUUAGCACUGGACGUUUUGGGCUAUGCAGCCCUGUGUGGUUUUGCCCAUGAAAAAUGUCAACACAUAUCGCCAAAUAUACCCCGAGGAACAAAAUUACUUCAGGCCCUGUUCUAUCAGCACGCAGUCCAGCUGAUCCUGUUUAGAAUUACCCUCCUCAGCUCAAGGAAUUUACCGGAAACAUAAUUCCAUCUAAAAGUUGGAAGUCCUGGAAGCAAUGGGGAGACUGCGGUCAGCGACACGGACCGUUUGAUAGGGUAGGACAGUGACUCUCAAGCCUGUGUCUGUAACUAGAACCAUCGGAGGGUCUGGCUAAGCCCAGAGAGCUAGACUCUACUCCCUAAUUCCAACUCUGAGGGUCUGGGAUGAGGCAUGAGAACUUUCAUCUCUCAUAAGUCCCUAGGUGAUGCUUAUACUGAUGCUGACCUGGAGGAACCCUUAGGGGUUUAGGAGCUGGCUACAGAUAGGUGGAAGAGACCAGGGGAAGAACCUGGGUUGGGACUGGCUGCUCAUCCAAGAAGUGCAGUUUGUGAGUUACUGAAGGUGGGCAAGACAUGUAUGGAGCCUUUAAGCCUGGUGGGUCCAUUGAGGGCACUGAGGGCAGGUAGCAGCUGAUCAUAGACCCAACAUUAUUCAUUGGUUGGCAGCACUGGUAUUUAAACCCAGAGCCCUCCAGUAUUCGUUUGACUCCCCUAGCAACCCUGUGGUCGUGUGGAGUAGCUCCUAACAGUCAAAGCUCCCAGAUGAGGAAAAUAACCAGUGUGAGAAUUUUCCAGUGGACCCACAGAGGAUGGGGCAGCUGCAGCCAGGUAUUCCCUUCUGUGGCUGGGAUCGGAAGUUGAUAAAGGUCACAGUGGCAUGCUCUGUGGACAGGUGCAGAUGUGACUUGGGUGUGGGGUUGUGGCUAGGUUGUGUCUUCGGGAUGGACCCUGGUCACUGAAGAGGAUCCUGGCUGAAUUUGUUUGACUGUUUCAGGUGGUGGAGAACGGAGCGGAGCGCAGGUUGCCUCGGGGAUGGGAAGGAUACAAAGAAAGCAAGGUAGAAAAGGACGUCAUAGAUGACACCCCGGGACCAAACGCUCCUCUGUCUUCCCUCCACAGUGGACAAGGCUGGGUGUGGCUCUCCCCACCAGCUCCUUCUGUCAGGGGUAAAACAGAAACCUAGCCAGAUUCACAAUUGCCUGAAGAGCUGUGAUCCAAGUUAAAUAUGAGUGUGAAGAUGACUGUAAUGAGCAGAGGAGAAAUGCU